rnacentral:misc_RNA from 1 species
CGUCAUUAUCAACCCUCAAGCCUGGCUUGUUGUUGGACCUUUCGUCGUUAAAGACGGGUCCCAAAGGCAAUGCCGGAGUCUGUCGGACCCUAAAUGCAACGAGCUUUCAAUAGCACGCAUUGAAGUGCUGGUGGCUUUGGUCUAAACCGAUUUUUUCUAAGGUUGACCUCGGAUCAGGUAGGAAUACCCGCUGAACUUAA